rnacentral:rRNA from 1 species
GCGAUCAUACCAACACUAAUGCACCGGAUCCCAUCAGAACUCCGAAGUUAAGCGUGCUUGGGCGAGAGCAGUACUAGGAUGGGUGACCCCCUGGGAAGUCCUCGUGUUGCACCU